AUCGAGAUAUCUCAGCAGAGAUUUUACCUCAUGUUUACCUCGCGCAACAAGUUGGAAAAAACGAAAUACAAAUGUCUCGUCACGUCAAGAACAGAGCCGGUAAAAAGCAGGAAAUGGCGACGGAAGCUGUUUUACAGCACUUUUACAAAUAAUACUAACGGAACAUCAUCGACCACAAUUGGAAUAAAAAAGAGAGAGAAGUGCCACACCUACGAAGAUGCAAUCACUGUCUGGAAUGAAGAAGAAAAGCAAGUUCCAUGGACGAGCGAAAUUAUAUACACUGACUAUAAAAAUUGCGCACUAUUGAAGUCGAAAUUCCUAGGAUACCAAGUGUGGGUUGCAGAAAAAUAUCUGAAAGCCAAUAAGGAAAUUCCGUAUCUAUGCGUGCUGUUGUACGAAAUAUACUCCGGGAUCAUUAAAUACUGGAUAUACGACUGGGAAACAUGUGCUGAGAAGACUACAAAUGAUGAAUAAAAAUUCUGUAUUUAGAAACACACAUAAUAAAUAUUACUGCGUUGUGUCUUAUACGAAGCAUACGCGAAUA